CGGGUCAUUAUUUACGGACGACACGCUUGUGAUGUACCCGUAAUGAUAAUGAUCCCGA
rnacentral:pre_miRNA from 1 species